rnacentral:rRNA from 1 species
AAACCCAAACCUGGGAAGGGUUACCCCCCAAGGGGCACCCGAAAAAAGGGGGUUUUCCCUGGGCCUAAAAACCCCCGGAAAUAAAGGGGGGGCAAGACUGGUGUCGCCCGCCGCGGUAACCCCAGCCCCUCGAGUGGUGGGGAUGAUUAUUUGGCCUAAAGCGUCCGUAGCCGGCGGGGUAAGUCUCCCGUUAAAUCCAGCGUCUCAAGCGUUGGACUGCGGGAGAUACUGCCUGGCUAGAGAGUGGGAGAGGUGUACGGUAUUCUGGGGGUAGGGGCGAAAUCCUUUGAUCCCCGGAGGACCACCAGUGGCGAAGGCUGUACACUAGAACACGUCUGACGGUCAGGGACGAAAGCUGGGGUAGCGAACCGGAUUAGAUACCCGGGUAGUCCCAGCCGUAAACGAUGCAUGCUAGGUGUUGGGUUGGCCACGAGCCACCCCAGUGCCGCAGGGAAGCCGUUAAGCAUGCCGCCUGGGAAGUACGAUCGCAAGAUUGAAACUUAAAGGAAUUGGCGGGGGA